UUCUAGAACUAAUUAAGAGAAAAAACUUGUGACGAAUUAUUUCCCUAUGAAAACAAACUUCCAUGAAAACUUAAGAGAGAGAAAACAUUAUCCCAGCAGUGGGGUGGGGAAAAUGGGUUUUGGUCAGAACAUCAUGCUGAAUUGCCGAUUGCUGAUUGCUGAGCUAAUGCAUUAUGCAUACACUCUUUCUCUCUCUGGUCUCUGCAACCCAAUUGAUCUUCUUCUUCUUCUUCUUCUUCUUCUUCAAACCCAAUUACCCAAACAACCCUUUGUUUCAAUUUCUUAUCCUUACAUCUUUCUAUUUUCAAUCUUUCACAAAACCCAAAAAUUUCCUCUAAUUUUAGCUUACUCCAAUGGCUUACACAUUGCAAUGGAAUGGUUGUAGUUUCAAGUUUCAACUGACUAAAAUAACAAACCCCUCUAAAGGUAUGGUUGGUUAUUCCAUCUAACUAAGACAUAUGUUUUUUAAUUAAUAUUUGUGUAAGACUAAUUUUGAUUUAAAGAAACAUUGUACUAAACAAUUUCAUGAGAGAGAGAGAGAGAGAGAAUAGGCUAAGUAGAAUGAGAUAUUUCAAAAGGAAAAGAGGGCAAAAGUAUAAGGAGAGAUUUGUAUCUGGGAACGCUAAAGUAUGAAGAAGCAGCAAGGUCUAUAGUUAGUUAAACCUGAGGUUGAGUAUGAUCUUGCAACGGAGCUUAGAUGAGUUGGGGCUAUUGUUAUAAUAGUUCGGCAUAUACCAAAAUCUGCACAUUGGGCAUUUAGAAGACAAAUGCAGUUCUAAGAGUAGAGAAAUUGAUUGGAUGUUUCUGGUUAGGAUGAUUCAGAUUUGUGGUAUGUUUAGAAUAGUGGAAGAAUCAAAUUUCUAUAUGGUUGUUACAUUGUUGGUGAUUUGAAUAAAGGAUUGUAUCGGCAUGCGGAUUUACAGGUGCCUUGAUGAUGCAUAGACAAAUGUGAAUGCCAAUAAUUGUGAUCUAGAACAGCUUUUCUGAUGGUCAGCUUGGGUUGAUGGAUGAUUAUCUACCUUCCGACCACCUAGGCCUUAUGACUCUAGGGACAAGUCUAUUUGAUAUCCUAUGGUUUAGUGCUUCAUGGGUAGUUUAGAUUAGUAAUGGGAUGGAAAGGGUCAAGCUCAGUAAUGUACUACUCAUCUCUCUUCUCAUUUGGAAAUAGUAUGGCACCGAGUCGUUUAAUGUCCAUGUUUUAGUUGCGGGCUUGCGGCAUUGUUCAUAAUUCCCAUAAUGAAAUAGGGUCUUUAGGCUGUGUUCUGAAACUUACUGACUUCAAACAUAAUGGAAGAAAUAUUAUUUAUUGUCUUCAUAGGAAAAAAAAAAUUAAACACAAUGGAAGAAAUAUUAAUAUAAAAAUUGUACGGCCUUCAAAUAUUGACAGUAGAAAGAAAUGAGGUUUUUAGGUAUUUCUGGAGAUCUAUUAUGUGAUUUUUUUGCUUUCAAUCUUUUGUAAAUAAUAUUUUUGUUAUCUACACAGAGAAUUAAAAGGUUAUGUUGUGAGCUUUUGACCUGAAGGAUGCCGUGGAGAACUUGUGUGGCAAUCAAGUAUUGUGCCUUUUCCCGAGG
rnacentral:lncRNA from 1 species